ensembl:processed_transcript
ACUGAACUUGACAAACCUGCUCUUUCGCACACGCGUCGUCUGUUUUUAGACUGAAGCUUGGGUACAUUUAAUACAAACGUCUGGGAAGUGGAAUUAACAUGGCAUGCGUCCGUGUGUUUAUUCGCCCGAACGGACCUUCUCAUAUAUGAAAAGGCGAGAGAGCCUACGGCUGUCACAUACUGUAUACAGUACAAGUGUGACAUCUCAGAACACCUUCCGGUAAUCUUUCAGGUAGUAGAACAGUUGCAUAAUUCAAUCUAAAAUGUGACCGCCCAUUACUGUUAGCUAAUGGUAUUUUGCAAUAAUCUUAAAAGAACAUUUACAAAAGCCUGAUAUAUACAUCUUGUCACCAACCACAUUUCAGACUAGACCAGUAAUAUACUUCAAACUGACAUUUUUCUUGUCCCCCAAAAAACCUGUAAAUACUUUUUAAAUGAUUUUACUACAAAUGUAUGUUCUUACUGUAAGAUGUUUGACCUUGUGAGUAUUAAAAUUUACAUUAAAUCCUUGUAAUUUGGAUUC